UCUGGAUUUUGAAGUCGAACAUCUAGGGCAACUAAACAAUUGCCCAAUAUUUUGUCAAAGACGUUAGCAAUGGAUGAUCUAUCCAUUUCCAUAACUAGAUCUUCUAAGAUAUUAAAAGCAAUGACCAAGCUUGCAUUCCCAGAACUAUCACUAACAAGUUCUUCACACAUCUUCCCAAAUAAUUCGAUAGUUAUAUCAUCAGCAUUCAGCUCUCUCCUGUUUUGGGCAGAUUCAAGCAUUGACCGAGCAAUAUCUUUAUCCACAGGCGCUACUAGGACCUAUUCUCUCACAAGCCGUCGUUAAACCGCCAUCUUCACUUAAAGAGCACCCACAUGUACCCACGGUAGAAAAGGUGGAUGAGUGGUUGGUUUCUUGCAUCACUCAGAUGGCAACCUCUUACUCUGACCUUGCGCUUAAACACGAGGUGCCAAAGGAAGCGAGGAGUAAGGGUUUACGUGAAAAGGUAUCACGUGCUCUACAAGGUUUAGCUCCCUGCUAAAUCUCUGGCUUACUUGCACAUAAUCCAUUUACACGAUAUUAUCCUUACCAAACUUGAAUCUCUUGCCUCUGAGUUACGUGAAUUGAAUAAUCUCUUCUUUCUUUCAAAGAUUGAGACUUCCAUAUAAAAACGCUUAUGUGCUACACUAUCCAUCUGUAAAACGAUUCAGUUUUUUCUUUUUGCUAAGUAACGAUUCAGAUUCAUGUGUCAA